rnacentral:ncRNA from 2 species
AAAUGUCACUAGGGGAGCCGCACAGGCUGAGAUUGGACCAAUAGGUCCUAAACCCUCUGAACCUGAUCUGGAUGAUACCAGCGUAGGGAAGUGGAGAGCGUAGCAC